rnacentral:misc_RNA from 1 species
GAUGAAGAACGUAGCGAAAUGCGAUAAGUAAUGUGAAUUGCAGAAUUCAGUGAAUCAUCGAAUCUUUGAACGCACAUUGCGCACCCUGGUAUUCCGGGGGGCAUGCCUGUCCGAGCGUCAUUACAACCCUCAAGCUCAGCUUGGUGUUGGGCCCCGCCGCCCCGGCGGGCCCUAAAGUCAGUGGCGGUGCCGUCCGGCUCCGAGCGUAGUAAUUCUUCUCGCUCUGGAGGUCCGGUCGUGUGCUCGCCAGCAACCCCCAAUUUUUUUCAGGUUGACCUCGGAUCAGGUAGGGAUACCCGCUGAACUUAAGCAUAUCAAUAAGCGGAGGA